GACACUGACCCGUCCAUUAUGCUCGGCAUUUCAAUAUUCCACCUACAAUUUUAAACCAUCAUCGGUUUGAUUAAAUGCCGAUUCUGACUCGGUUGAACCAUUUUUUUACCAUUUAUAAAUCAAAAGUGUAAGAAGUGGGAUUUCAACUUAAAUUCGGAAAGGACAGUGUAGUUACCAUAUAUACUAGUAAAAUAUUUUGAUCAACUUGUACAUUUCAAACAUUUU
rnacentral:lncRNA from 1 species